CAGGGCAGCUCUGCCCAAUGGAAGGCAAGCCUUGUGGUGGCUCCUUCCAGGGGCCAAGGUCUCUCUUGGAGACACUGACUCUCAGAGUAGGGAAUGCCACCAUAUUGCCCCUGCUCUGCUGUGUCUGUAGCCCUCUCCUGGGGCAUGCAUUCUAGGGGAAUGGAGGGGUCAGACUCCCAGCCUACUGUGGCCAAGGAGCAGAUUCUGGGGGCUUGAAGCACCCACAAAGAUCCCUGUGUUCAAAUGAGAGCACUGAGGCUCAGUAGGCCAGGGCUAGGACUCAAACCCAAGGCUGCUGUGCCUCCCAGCUUCCAGCCCUUUAUCCCCUGCAGACCCCCAACCUGCCUUGAUUUCCAGGAGCAGUUCUGUCUUGCCAUUCCUGGGAGUCAGUAUGAGGCCAGGCCACAUGGGCAAGCAGAGGGAACCCUGAGCUAGAACUGUCUGGGCCUUCUUUCCUUUGAACCUUGCAGUUGAGCAAGGUAUCUGGGCAGCCCCGCAGGCCUUCCCCCUCCUCUUCCAUCUUGCCAUCAUUUCUGAGGCUCCUACUGGACACUGAGCCCCGAGCAACUGCUUUACAUUUAGUGGUGUUAAUCCUCACAGCCCCACAGACUGGGUUUUUAAUCACAUCCGUGGUGAGGAAACCAACGCUCAGCAGGGUGUAGUCACAGGUCAGCUCACCCUGCUGGACUGGAAGGGAGGGGGAGGUCACCAGCGGUGCCCAUGUGAAUGGUCAGACUGAGGUCAGCAUAGCUAGGUUCUGGGCUGCCUCCUGCAAAGCUUAGUGCAGAGGUCCACCACCGAGGCCUAGCAGGGGUUACCCGGGCUGUUCGCAGAGGGUUUUAAGUUUUUAUUUAUUUAUUGACUGUGCUGGAUCUUCAUUGCUGCACACAGGCUUUCUCUAGUUGUGAGCGGGGCCCACACUCUAGUUGCCGUACGCGGUCUUCUCAUUGCUGUAGCUUCUCUUGUCAUGGAGCACAGACUCAAGAGCGCUGGCUCAGCCGUUGUGCAUGGGCUCAGUUGCCCUGCAGCAUGUGGGAUCUUCCCAGACCAGGGCUUAAGCCUGUGUCUCUUGUGUUGCAAGGUGGAUUCUUAACCACUGGACCACCAGAGUUCUCCUGGGGUCCUGCAACAUAGGCUUAGGCCUCAGUCUCCCGAGCCCUGCAAUGUGCCAGGCUCCUAGGAGAUGACACCCCUCAGAAGAGCCUGGAAAAUAUGGAGACUGAACGGUACACCCUGAACCAAGUGCUUCUGGGAUUAUCUCAUUCAUUCUCAAGACAUCCCAUAAAGCAAAGUCCGUGAACCCUCCCAUUUUACAGGUGAGGAAAACUAAAACUGGGAAAGGCUAAGGAACCUGCUCACAUGCAGGCUGAACUGGGAUUCCCUUCCAAGCUGGGUAACCCUGGGCCUGAUGCCUUAGUCAUCACACCUGGCUUGAAGAGGGUAGGGCCCAGGACAGGGGUAGAGCAGGCCUGGAAUGAGGACAGUCUGGGCAAAAGCCUGGAUGCCUGAGGCACAUGGGUGUGAAUGUGUAGUGGCGAGGUGGUGAUGGUGGUGGAUGCCCAUGGAGGAGCUCUGAAUGCACUUUGGGAACCACGGCCUAAUGUAAAGAGUCUCAGGGUGAGUUACAGGGUCAGGUAGGCACUGAGGAUAUCCUCUGGCUGCCAGAAAGAAGGGUUAGGGGAGCGACUAAGCCAAGGUCUAGAGGCUGCUAGGAGCUAGAGCAGUUGACCUUCUGGAAUAGAACAACUCACAACCAUUGCUGAGGAACUGGAUAUAGGGUGGGGGGUAGCCAGUACCACAAUGGAGCCCAAGGCUCUGACUGGAACCUGGGGGCCCUGGAGCUACCUUGGACUAGGGGACUAGAAUGGACAGGGCAUCUGGAGAUCCAAAUGUGACCCUGUGGGGAUAUAGCCUAAAAGCAGCCCUUUAAAUGGAGUUGUGAAGACCACCCUCCCAGGUCUGAGUGCUGUCAACAACAGUAACUGGCCUCUCCAUAUGUAACAGUGCCAAGUGCCACAGAUACUUUGUCAUAAUCCUCUGCAUAUGAGGCGUACCUUCCUUAGCCCACUAGACAGAUGAAGAAACCCAGGUUUAACUUGCGCAACAUCACACAAGCAGGAAGUGGCCAUGCUGGGGUUUGAACCCAGUCCUCAGACCUUCCAGCUGGAAGGGGAGUGAGCAGGCCACAGAGGCCAGCUGCAGCCCAGGGCCCUGGUACCCAGCUGGGGUGCCCCCAGGGCCGACAUGGGGUUCCAGGGCAAAGAGGAAAGUGGUGAGUCAAACAGAAAGCACCAGAUGGGGAGUGAGCUUCCUCCCCUCCCAGCUGCCCCUGGUGCCAAACUUUCACACCCCGCUGCUGCAGAGGAGCCCAUGGGGGAGGGGAGGGCAGUGAAAGUGGCUGCUGCUGAAAGGAGACUCUGAUGUACUCCGGAUGUGGCGGGGGUGGGGGGGACACUGACAGUCGCCGAGACUCAGGUUCCCAGCUGACAGGUGGGUGAGGAAAGUGAGUCCUCUCUCAGCAUAAGUUGGUAUAAAGCCUACCAGGCCAGAGGGGAGCAUUUCAGGUCCCCAGACCUGAGAGGUUCUGGGAGGAGGUGCAGGUGGAUAUGCCUAAAACCCUUGUUGGAGGCAUUCCACAGCUCAAGAACUGCCCAGGUCUCCCCACUUUCUGCUGGCACAGAAAUCCUCUCUUGUCAUUCCACCCAGCCCUCCUGCCCAGAUCCUUGGAGCUGUGGAAUUUUCAAACCAACUUUUACAUGGAACUCAACUAUGUAUUUUUUAAAAGACAAAAGCAGUGUCCUAAACAUAAAUGGAUUUUGUUAGUUCACGUUCUUAACACUUAGCAUUAAGUCCAUCAUGGUGAACCGCAAUGAGCACUGAUGUUUAAACGGGGGGCUGGGGUGGGAGCUGCAGUCUCCUGUCAGCCUCAGCUUUCAGUUUCUUGCAGUAUUUGAUUUUGGUGGCACAGGACCAAGUGACCCCACCAAGUGAUUUGCACAGACAAGUGGGUACAAAUGGGAGUGAGUUUCCGAAGGCCCCCUUACAGUCUCUUUUAUUCUCAGGGACCUCAGGAGAAGCCUUAUGUCCUGCUCAGCCUAGACCCAAGACUCUGGACACAGGAGGAGGAGUCUUAACAUAUCAUAAUUUGAUGUUGUGCCCAUCUGAGUGUGUGUGUCAUUUUUUAAACUGGGUUUUUUUUCCAGUAGUUAAAAAUAUGAAUGAAAGAGAGGGAGAGAGAAUGGAAAGGAAAGGAGGAAGGGAAGUGAAGGAGAAAGAAGGAAUUCAGGCUUCUGAGGAUGCCCUCGCUCAGCUUCUUGGUGAGGACGCCCACCCUGACUGCUCCACCCCUACCUGUCCUCAGGUUCCAGUGCCUCCUCUUACUCAGCAUCUGUCUCAACAAGUGAAUCUGGGCCACAGACUUCUGAAAAGUCUUAGGAGUCCACGACUCCUCCUGGUUUCUGUGGGCCUUCCAGGUACUCAGCCCUGGUUCUGGGCAGGGCAGAAGGCCCUAUGUAGGGGACAGGGGAUAGGGGCUUCCCUGGGCUUUGUGCUGUGUCUCCAGAGGUGGGAGGACUGGGGAACCCAGUGCCCCUGAGAGCCUGGGGUUUCUGAACGUUCAGUUCUGGGAACUUGCUGUGCUUCAGAAAGAGAGAAAUGAGAAGCAAAACCCUAGGGCCUCAGCGCCACCAACCCCCCCCUUCCUGUCUUCCUUCCGCUGAGUCAUAGCCAAGCACACAGCACCUCUGCCUCCUUCGGGGCCAUAUGGGUGGGGUGGAAUUCACGGUCACGUGAGGACACAGCAUCUGGACAAGUCCUCUUUUCCUGCAAGUGUCUGUGCAGAGCCCCGAGUUGCUGAGCGCUAAAGCUGCCUCCCAAGCUUGGAGAAGGGGUGACUGAGGUCUUUAGUGUCCUGUGUCUCCCCGCGAUCCCCAGGCCAGCUGUUCACCUACAAGCAUUGAGCACCAACUGUAAGCCAGACAGGGUGAUUCAGGUGGGGCCCUGUCCUUGAGGAACUUAUGGAUUUGGACAUGGACUCUUCCUGACAGGCCCCUCAUGAGUGACCGGCUCUUUAGGCUUGCUCUGGUCAGUGGGGGGCCAUGGGAGCCAGGCCACAUCACACAUGCCCAUCAUAAAGACCUGCACACCUCACACAGGUGUCUGUAGGUAUGUGCAUGUGCGCGCGUGUGGGACUGGAGCACGUGGGUUCAUGUCCGUGAUCAUAGAUGUCCGCACAGGCCCUGCAUUGGAUUGCGGAGCUCCAGGCUCUGGUAUCCAGGUCAGGACCUUGCGUGUGUGGCCUCUGUGAGGGGCCCCAGGUUGUUGAGGGCUGAGGCUAUCUUCCAAUCUGGGAGAAGGGGUGACUGAGAUUCUUAGGGGAGAGACAUCACCCUGUCUUGGAGGCCCAAGUACUGUCACUGAGUCAUGAGAGUCCAUGGGAGUUUGAGUACUGUGCCCCCAUUUUAUGGAAAAGAAAGCUGAAGCCCAGAAGGGGCCCAUGAUUUGCCCAAGGUCACAGAGCAAGUUGGGGGAGAUCUAGAAGGGGAACAAGCCAGACCUGGGCACCUGUCUACCUCCUUGACCUUUCUGGCCUGGCAUUUGGGGUUUGGCACCCCCUGAUGACCACAGUGCAUCAAACUCUGGGUUGAUUCUCCCAGCAAACCACCUGGGGACCAACCACAGGGUCCUCCUACACCUCGCCAUUCCCAGGAAGUUUCCCUUCACUAUAUCUUUGCUUGGGUGACCUCACUGCCUGUAGUUCCCUCUCUUUCUCAAUCAGUCUCUGUCUCUCUCUGAUUCCUCAAAUAAGAUCCAAACUUCCAAAUUCUGCUUAAAUGCUUCCUCUACCUUCUUUGACCCCCUGGGACUUUUCCCCUACCUCUAGCCUCUCUUGGCCUCUGUCCCCCUCAUUCCCACAUCACUGUUCACCCACCUCCUAAAUAUAAAAUUAAUCCAUAGAGCCCUAGGCUGGGUGUGAGGGGUCCUUUGAGGCUGAGACAGUGGAAGCCCCACCCAGGCCAGUCCAGCCCUCCAGACUUUGCCAGUCACUGAGGUGGGCCCUGGAGCUGGGAGAAGAGACAGCACCUCUGCUAGGCCUCGCCACCUGCCCCCAAUUCUGCUGCUUUGCUCAAGGCCCAGACCUGGAGCACUGUACUUGAGGCGAGAUUGAUUCCUCAACCUUCAGUGUUUACCAUCCCAGGUUGUUUAUUCCCCCACACCUUGAAUACCCCUCCACUGAGGACUCGGCCUGUGUUUCAUGGGGUGGAGGGUGGGGGGUCAAAGAAAGAGUAGGGAACCCUUGGAUUUUUGUUGGGUGUCGCUCUUUUGUUGAACUACUCCAGCCAGAGUUGUCUGCUCCUUUCCAAAGCUGUUUCCCUCCACUUGGUCUCAGAAAGUGGGCAGGGGGCUGGCCAUCUUUGCCCCAUGAGGCUUUGAACCCCAUCAUGCCAGCUGUCCCCUCGCUCCUCUCCAGCCAUGACUAGGAGCCUAAGACUGAUUGUCGGACCUACCCUUGGUGCUGGAGUAUGAAGGAAAAACGGACAGAGACACUGCCCAUCAGGAAUUGAUGGCCAAGUGGAGGACAGAGGCAAGUAAACAGGUCCUUAUCCUUGCCGCCUGUGGUGUGAGUUCGAUUGCUGUCUGCUGGGCACCGUGCCAGGCCCUGGGCAUGGGUGGUAUUCAGAUAAGGCCCUGCUCUCGUGGAGCAUGUCCUCUCCUACUCAGGUUCCCACUCAGCACUUGCAGUGCUCAGCUUGAGCUUUCCCUACAGCACAGGCCAGCUUAGGAGGUGGAAUGGUCAGGGAGCUCACCCUCUGGAGCAGCCCUAAGCCCGAGAAGGGUGGGAAUUGGUGGAUACACAUGCCAGCUUCCUCCCCCCUUCAGGUGGGACAACCCCAAGGAGUGUUCUACACCACCUGUCAACCGGGGACUGACCUCAGAGGGAACACAUUUACACACCUGCUCUGGCUUCCUUUCCUUCCCUGUCUCACUUCCUCUCUCAUCUCCAUCAGGAACUAGGAAGGUUCUAUGAUUUCACCCAGCUCACAAGCUGCCGUAUUCCAAGGAUGCUGGUGGAAGAUACAGCACUCCUGCUUGAGAAACAAAGGCUGGAGAGACCUGGGAAAACUCAGGCCUCAGGGGGAUUCCCUAGGAUGCGGUGGGUACCCAACACAGGCAUGAAUCUGCUAGAGAAGCUGAGGAAGACUUCUCAGAAAAGGAGUAUUUGAGUUGGACUUGGAAGGCCCAUGAAUCCCACAAGGACGGGGAGCAUGUCCAUCUUAUUCCCUGCUGUGUCCUCAGGGCCCGGAUGGAGUCCAGCCCAGUUGGUGCCCAGAGAGCAAGAGAGCUGGCAAAGGACAGUCGGUAAAGGGUUCCUAUCAGUUAUUGUGUACAUGUCGUGCGGGUUCCUGUGCGCCCACCGGUCAGUUCCCCUCUUCCUCCCUGACCAGUGCCGGUAGGCAUGCCCCUUUCAGCAGCCCAGAACCACCUGGGGGUGACAGUCACCAGAGGAUAUUUAGCCUCUGUUAGGCUGGCUCUCUGACUUGGGUCUGGGGCCCAAUGACACGCGCUCCACUGAUCCUGUUCUAAGCAGGCUUCACUCCCUUGAUAGGGAAAUGUGAGAAUAAGAUUGAAGCCGACUGGGACUUCCCUGGAGGUCCACUGGUUAAGAUUCAUGCUUCCAAUGCAAGGGCUGUGUUCUAUCCCUGGUUGGGGAACUAAGAUACCACAUGCCACACAGCGUGGCAAAAAAAAAAAAAAAAUUGAAGCAGAAAACUACCAGGGGUCAGAGGCAGCUGGUAGCCCCUUUUCAGGCAAGAGCCAGACUCUGACUUGGGCUGAGGCAAGGAGGAAGGGGAUAGGACUCUGUUGGCCAGGCCAGUAGCUCCAGAGACCUUAGCAAGCAGGGAUACAAGGGGAUAAAACCAGCAUUCCAGAACAGCUCACCUGAAAGCUACCCCCACCCCAGCUGCCCAUCCUUGCCACCUCACGUAGCAGUGCAUGGGCAAGGGAGCGGUCGGGAUCCCGCAGCCUGAGCUCUGCUCUGGGCCUCACCCCCUUAGCCACCCCCUUGCCCACUCUGGGCUUGUCUCCUCAUCUGUGGAGUAUGGGUAGUAUUUUGUUGUCUAGUCGCCCAGUUGUGUUCAACACUUUGCAACCCCAUGGACUGUAGCCUGCCAG